rnacentral:rRNA from 1 species
GAUGAACGCUGGCGGCGUGCUUAACACAUGCCAGUCGAACGGAAAGGCCCAAGCUUGCUUGGGUACUCGAGUGGCGAACGGGUGAGUAACACGUGGGUGAUCUGCCCUGCACUUCGGGAUAAGCCUGGGAAACUGGGUCUAAUACCGGAUAGGACGAUGGUUUGGAUGCCAUUGUGGAAAGUUUUUUCGGUGUGGGAUGAGCUCGCGGCCUAUCAGCUUGUUGGUGGGGUAAUGGCCUACCAAGGCGUCGACGGGUAGCCGGCCUGAGAGGGUGUACGGCCACAUUGGGACUGGGAUACGGCCCAGACUCCUACGGGAGGCAGCAGUGGGGAAUAUUGCACAAUGGGCGCAAGCCUGAUGCAGCGACGCCGCGUGGGGGAUGACGGCCUUCGGGUUGUAAACUCCUUUCGCUAGGGACGAAGCGUUUUUGUGACGGUACCUGGAGAAGAAGCACCGGCUAACUACGUG